rnacentral:rRNA from 1 species
UACGUAGGUGGCAAGCGUUGUCCGGAAUUAUUGGGCGUAAAGCGCGCGCAGGCGGUCGCGUAAGUCUGCUGUGAAAUCUCCCUGGCUCAACCGGGAGGGGGCGGCGGAGACUGCGGGACUGGAGGGACCUAGAGGCCGGUGGAAUUCCCGGUGUAGUGGUGAAAUGCGUAGAUAUCGGGAGGAACACCAGUGGCGAAGGCGACUUUCUGGCCUGUUCUUGACGCUGAGGCGCGAAAGCUAGGGGAGCAAACGGG